rnacentral:lncRNA from 1 species
CCAAGAAGGAGAGUGAUGGAGUGCUGCAUCAGAUGACCUGGCCUCCACAAUCACCCGACCUCAACCCAGUUGAGAUGGUUUGGGAUGAGUUGGACCGCAGAGUGAAGGAAAAGCAGCCAACAAGUGCUCAGCAUAUGUGGGAACUCCUUCAAGACUGUUGGAAAAGUAUUCAAGACUGAGGAGCAGGCUCUGGAGGUCCAGUCGGGGCUGUCUCUGUUUGGCCAGGCCCUGGGUGCUGUGCGGGAGUCAGUGAGCCGUGCUGCCGUGCAGAGCCUCAUCGACAACAACAAGAGCAACAUCCACAGCCUGGGCCAGGUGCUGCGCAGCCUCCACAUCAAGGUGACUCACUGAGGAUUGUGGGUGUCUCGUCUACAGCAUGACCAGUGGAUGGGACUGUGGGUGUCUCGUCUACAGCAUGACCAGUGGAUGGGACUGUGGGUGUCUCGUCUACAGCAUGACCAGUGGAUAGGACUGUGGGUGUCUCGUCUACAGCAUGACCAGUGGAUGGGACUGUGGGUGUCUCGUCUACAGCAUGACCAGUGUAUGGGACUGUGGGUGUCUCGUCUACAGCAUGACCAGUGGAUGGGACUGUGGGUGUCUCGUCUACAGCAUGACCAGUGGAUGGGACUGUGGGUGUCUCGUCUACAGCAUGACCAGUGGAUAGGACUGUGGGUGUCUCGUCUACAGCAUGACCAGUGGAUGGGACUGUGGUGUGAACAGGGGUUCCGUGUGGCUCAGUUGGUAAAGCAUGGUGCAAUGCCAGGGUUGUGGUUUCGAUCCCCAUGGGGGACCAGUAUGGAAAAAGUAUGCACUCGCUGCUGUAAGAGUGUUUCCUGAAAUGUAAGCAGUUUGUUACGUAAGACCAGGAAAUGUUCCUGGUCUGAUCAACUGGCCAGGGAAAAACUUCUGUCUCUUUCUCUUUUUAUUGGAUGUGUCUCAGUGUGCACAUACUGUUCCUCCACAGCAGAGAGUCUAGUUAUAGAUAGGAGUUCUUGGAAAAUUCAUAGACCAUGGGUACAGUCAGUCAGAUGUUCCUCUCCCCUCAGCAUGCCACCACCUGCCUGCUGUGCUUUGUUUGCUUCUCUGUCAGAAGCCAGUAACUUUUCAGGGUAGGGCAGUUCAGUGACUGAGACGGCAUUGAGCAGGCCAGACAUAGCAGUGGCUUCUAUUUGGCUGCAUACCGUUUGGCAUGGAUUAGCGGGGCGGGAAGAAAACCUGGAAUAGAACCCCUUCCACAGAACAGAUGAGUGGUGCUUUCUUUUUAUGGUUUGUAUGUUAACCCUUGUUCUUGCUGUCAUCCAUUGAACAGGACCUGUCCCUCUCUCCAGUGCCAGCAGGAAGUGACUCAGCGACCAGGAAGGUGUCGUCCCUAUCCGAGCUGUUCCGUGUCCACACCAACUUCCUACGAGGGAAGGUUCGCCUGCUGCUCACCAACGCACCUGCCUGUCAACAGAACAGCACGUGAUUGGAGCUUUCCCUGAAGGCAGAGGCUGGGAUUGGACUGUUGUUUAGAGAGAGGAUGAGGUCAUUGGACUUCUGCUGAAAUCUCUGAAUGGACUUCGAAGUAUGGAAUGUGUAGACAAGGUGAUUGUUGACUGGAUAAAAACUGGUGGGAAAGUCAGUUGAUGUGGGUGGUGCUGAUGAGAAACCAUGAACGAGUGAGAGAAAAAAACAUCACUUCUACAACUCAUUGACCUCAUCGGUUCCUAGUACUACCUGUCAGUACCACAAUGAGCUCUGAUGCAUGCAGCGGGAAUAAGCUACAGACAGUACCCGCUGGGCACAGACGUCAAUUCAAUGUCUAUUCCACGUUGGUUCAACCUAAUUUCAUUGAAAUGACGUGGAAACAAUGUUGAUUCAACCAGUUUGUGCCCAGUGGGUACAGAUCAUAUAUAAUGUCCUAAAUCCAAAGAUUCGAUUUUUCAUUUUAUUUAUACAUUGUCUUAAAAUGUGU